rnacentral:misc_RNA from 1 species
AACGCAUAUUGCGCCCUCUGGUAUUCCGGGGGGCAUGCCUGUCCGAGCGUCAUUACUACCUUCAAGCACGGCUUGUGUGUUGAGCAUUUUGUUCCAUUUUCAGUGAACAAGGCUUGAAAUGCAGUGGCGAUGCCUUAAAUUGGUUGCCUGAACGUAUAGGGCUAUGUCACACGUUCUUGUGGCUCCAGUUGUGCAUCUUGUUCCAACUUCUAAAAAUCUCAAAUUGACCUCGGAUCAGGUAGGAAUACCCGCUGAACUUAA